CAGCGUACAAUGUGACCGGAUCAUUCACCAACCUAUAAAUUAUGUGCCAACAAUUGGUAGCUCUGUUGGUAGUUUCAAUAUGACUGAGACUCAAUUUCCACCAUUAUUGGCAUCACAACUUUCUCAGGUGCAAUCCCCAUUUGUGCAAUUUGCUAGACCACCUCGUGCGGAUUCCUCUCCUUAGACAGUAACGAUCUCGUAUGUGCCUAUGUCUAUUUAUAUGUGCACCUGAAAUACUAGUUAAUUUAUUGAUAUGAUUUCCUUUCUUGACAGGUUCCAAAUACUUUAGGUUCCAACUAAUCUAUUGUUUAGUUGCUUUGUGAACAGGGAGUUUGGUUCAUUAAGAAAUUUUAGAAAUAAAUCUCUGUUUGAACUGAGAACAUCCAGCUUUGUGA